rnacentral:rRNA from 1 species
GAUGAACGCUGGCGGCGUGCCUAAUACAUGCAAGUCGAGCGAACAGACGAGGAGCUUGCUCCUCUGACGUUAGCGGCGGACGGGUGAGUAACACGUGGAUAACCUACCUAUUAGACUGGGAUAACUUCGGGAAACCGGAGCUACUACCGGAUAAUAUAUUGAACCGCAUGGUUCAUUAGUGAAAUACGGUUUUGCUGUCACUUAUAGAUUGAUCCGCGCCGCAUUAGCUGGUUGGUAAGGUAACGGCUUAACAAGGCGACUAUGCGUAGCCGACAUGAGAGGGGGAUGGGCCACACAGGAAGUGAGACACGGAACAGAAACCUAAGGGAGGCAGCAGUAGGGAAUAUUGGGAAAUGGGGGAAAGACUGACGGAGAAAGGGAGCGUGAGUGAAGAAGGGCUUCGGAUCGGAAAACGCUGUUAGGAGGGAAGAACAAAUGGGAAAGUAACGAAGCACGUAUUGACGGUAGCAAAUAAGAAAGCAACGGCUAACUACGUG